GUCUUCGGCCAUACCACCCUGAAUGUGUCUGAUCUUGUCUGAUCUUGGAAGCUAAGUAGGCCUGGUUAGUACUUGGAAGGGAGUCAAAUAUGAACUCAGGAAGAUAAAUAUA
rnacentral:rRNA from 1 species